UCGCUAGAGAUAGCUUAGUGCCUUCGGGAACUCUGAGACAGGUGCUGCAUGGCUGUCGUCAGCUCGUGUUGUGAAAUGUUGGGUUAAGUCCCGCAACGAGCGCAACCCUUAUCCUUUGUUGCCAGCGAGUAAUGUCGGGAACUCAAAGGAGACUGCCGGUGAUAAACCGGAGGAAGGUGGGGAUGACGUCAAGUCAUCAUGGCCCUUACGAGUAGGGCUACACACGUGCUACAAUGGCAUAUACAAAGAGAAGCGAACUCGCGAGAGCAAGCGGACCUCAUAAAGUAUGUCGUAGUCCGGAUUGGAGUCUGCAACUCGACUCCAUGAAGUCGGAAUCGCUAGUAAUCGUAGAUCAGAAUGCUACGGUGAAUACGUUCCCGGG
rnacentral:rRNA from 1 species